CAAAAAUGGGAAGGUUAUUUGGGGAACAUACAAAAAUGGAAAUAUAGAAAUUAAUCUGUAUGUCUUUAUUGGGGUGGGUAUGCCUGGGAACAUAAACAACGGCUUGUCAAACAACUAGCCUAAGACAUGCAUCAGUCAACAAUUUGGUGAGAUGGACUGACAACACUCUUCAGCAGGUACCAAACCACAAAACGAAUAUGGAUGUAUCAAAUGUCAUUCUGUCAAUGUGCAGGUACAUGGCACAUAAGUUGCUGUACACUCUGGUUGUGAACCCAAGUACAUCUGAAGUGAAGAUAUACAGCUGGACAAAGUUCAAGCAAGUUGAAUGUGUGCCUUUUGGAACAUUCUAAGAUUCAUAAAGUUAUUACGGUUUGUGUAAUGCUGCAUAACUGUGCUAAAAGCCUCCAUCUGAUUCAGAGAAAUACAAUGACAGUGAUCCAGGUUUGGUUUUGUUACAAGAUGAUAACUUUGGUAUGAAAGAGAUUUCAACCCAAGUGGUUCAUGAUGUUGAUAGCAGAGCUGUUAUGUACUAAUAUACAUUUACUCUUAAAGACAGCUGUAGAUGACAAAGUAAUAAGUAAAUGUGAACUUUCUGAUUUACAUGCUCUGUUAACACAAAAUGAUAUUCAUAUUUUACAAUUUUCAUACAUCUUUAUUUUGAAUUUUAAAAUUAAAUCAAUACGCAACAGGAAAAUAACAUUACAGUUAGAUGAUUAUAAUUGAGAAGUACAAUGCAAAACAAUCAAUAAAAUAAUGACAAAUUAACAAAAUAAUUAUGAAAAAUACAUAAAUAAUUUUAAGUAAUAAUUUUGUUCAUGUACAAUAUUGAGUAAGUAUUUAAUUACAUGUUCCCUCUGACAUGUCAUCCAAUUUAAUUAACAAUUUAAGAUGGGUUUAUCUUAAGUUAUCUACACUUGGUUUAUUUACUUCUACACUAUACUUGCUUCACUCUUUGCAAUUUGUAAGG